AUGGAGCAAUUGGAGAAGAGGAUGGAUGCUGCUGAACAACAAAUCAAAGAGCUGCGUGAAGAUCUUAAUAGGAGAUUUGACCAGCUGGUUGAGAUGAUAAGAAAGGGUGUCCCCCCUGCUACCAAUGAAGGAGAUUCAUCUAAAGAAGAGGAAGAUGUUCAUCAAGGAAGAAGGAGAGGUAAUCUUGGAGCAAGACCGCCACGACAACAUGUUGUUCAACGUGCUUCAAGAAGGCCAAUUUAUGUUGAGGCUUCUGAAGGUGAAGAAUAUGAUGAUGCCCUUGAAGAGCCAAAUCUCUACGCAUAUCGGAGAGCACCCAACCCUACAUAUGCAAGAGAUACAUACAAGGUGAAAGCUGAGAUCCCAAGUUUUAAUGGAAAUGUUGACAUUGAAGGGUGCCUGGAUUGGUUAUAUGAAGUGGAGACUUUCCUUGAGGUCAUGGAGGUUCCGGAAGAUCGUAGAGUUCCUUUGGUCGCAUACAAACUGAAAGGAGGAGCCGGUGCAUGGUGGCAUCGCGUUCAAGAGGAGCGCAGGCUCAGAGGAGAACCUCGUGUUAGAACUUGGCGACAAAUGAAAGGCCUCUUGAAAGGGGGAUUUUUGCCCGCUGAUUAUGACCAGAUCCUAUUUAUCCAAUUUCAAAAUUGUGCUCAAGGAAAUAGGACUGUUUCAGAUUACACGGAGGAGUUUCUAAGGCUACAAGUGAGGUGCAACCUUGCUGAAACUGAAGAGCAACAAGUUGCAAGGUACAUCAAUGGUCUCAAUGAUGCUAUUCAAGAUCGAUUGAUGAUGCAACAAAUCUGGUCUGUUGAUCAAGCACAAGCUCUAGCCUUAAAGGCCGAGAGGUUUGUGAGGAUGAGAAAGACAACUAAGGCUCCAUAUCCUCCAUAUCCUCAUACCGAAGGCUCAUCUAGGAGCCAACCUAAUAGAGUGGAAGAAAAGACCACUCCACCAAAGACAAAACAGCCCAUCCCGAAGCAAACUAGAGGCAAGGGUAAGGCAAAUGAAGGCCCAAAGUGCUAUAAAUGUGGUAAAGAGGGACACAUAUCCAGCGGCUGCCCACUAAGGAAAUUUGUUAACACGACUAUCCAUGAUGGUGAAAGCGAUGAGGAAGAAUACGAAUCUGAAGAUGUAGACGAACAAGAGGUUUGUCAAGAAGAAGGUGACGAGGUGGUAUGUGUGAUCCAGCGUGUCCUAUGUUCCACACCACAACUCGAUGACACACAACGGAAGAAAAUAUUUGAGAGCAAAUGCACGGUGAAUGGCAAGGUAUGCAAACUAGUGAUUGAUAGUUGUAGCUGCGAUAAUCUUAUCUCCCAGAAGUUGGUGGACCAUUUAAAGCUUGAAACCCAUGAUCAUCCAAAUCCCUACACUAUUGGAUGGAUCAAGAAAGGAGUAAAUAUGAUGAUCACCAAACAAUGCAACCUGCCACUUUCUUUGGGUAAGCAUUAUCACUCAAAUGUGUUGUGUGAUGUGGUUGACAUGGAUGCCAGCCAUGUUCUUCUUGGGAGGCCUUGGCAAUUUGAUGUGGAUACUACACACAAGGGCAAGGAAAAUUCUUACUCUUUCAUUUGGAACAAGAGAAGGAUCAUUAUCUUACCAAACAAACCCGAAGGUAAUACCUCUAAGGAGGAGGGGAAAACUAUGUUAACUAUCUCCCAUACCUCUCAUGAGUUUAUGGAAGACUUGAAGGAGGCAGAUUUGUGUGCUGCACUUGUUGUAAAGGGAGAAGAGCACCUGACUGUUGAAAUUCCAGCAAAGGUACGUGGUUUAUUGGCAGAAUUUCAGAACAUACUUGGGGAGCCACAUGGCUUGCCACCGAUGAGAGGAAUUCAACAUAGAAUUGACUUAAUUCCGGGAGCAAGUCUUCCUAAUCUUCCACACUAUCGAAUGAGCCCAAAGGAGCAUGGUAUAUUGAAGGAGAAAGUGGAGGAAUUGUUGCAAAAGGUGCACAUUCGAGAAAGUAUUAGCCCAUGUGCUGUACCAGCCCUACUCGCGCCAAAGAAAGAUGGAUCUUGGCGCAUGUGUACGGACAGUAGAGCCGUUAACAAGAUCACCGUAAGGUAUAGAUUCCCUAUUCUCCGUCUGGAUGAUAUGUUGGAUCAGCUUAGUGGAGCAAGAGUGUUCACAAAGCUAGAUUUAAGAAGUGGAUAUCAUCAAAUCCGUAUAAGACCCGGGGAUGAAUGGAAGACCGCCUUCAAGACAAAGGAAGGGUUGUUUGAAUGGCUAGUCAUGCCAUUUGGACUCUCAAAUGCACCAAGUACCUUUAUGCACUUAAUGAAUCAAGUCCUUAGACCCUUCUUAUCCCACUUUGUUGUGGUCUAUUUCGAUGACAUCUUGAUCUAUAGCAAGGAUGAGGAUGAACACUUUGAUCACAUUCGGAAGGUGCUAGAAGUACUAAGGGAAAAUGAGCUCUACGUCAACUUGAAGAAAUGUGUUUUCCUGCAAACACAACUUCUUUUCCUAGGAUUCGUCAUAACAUGUGACGGCAUUCGUGUUGAUGAUUCUAAGGUUGAAGCAAUCCGAGAAUGGCCAACUCCUAAGACCAUUUCUGAGGUAAGAAGCUUUCAUGGCCUUGCAACUUUCUAUAGGCGAUUUCUUAAGAAUUUCAGCACUAUCAUGGCACCAAUUACCGAGUGUUUGAAGAAAGGAAAGUUCCAAUGGGCAGAAGCAGCUGAAGCUAGCUUCAAUGAGAUUAAACAAAAGCUAUCACAAGCUCCUGUCUUGGUACUACCUGAUUUCAACAAGACUUUUGAGUUGGAGUGUGAUGCAAGUGGAGUAGGCAUUGGAGCUGUCCUAUCUCAAGAAAGGAAGCCCAUUGCUUUCUUUAGUGAGAAGUUAAGUGAAGCUAGACAGAAAUGGAGUACCUAUCAGCAAGAAUUAUACGCCGUUUUCAGAGCGUUGAAAACUUGGGAAGUCUAUUUGCUGCCUAAAGAGUUCAUUGUUUAUAGCGACCAUCAAUCCUUGAAGCAUUUUAGAAAUCAAAAGCAUGUUGACCGCAUGCUAGCAAGAUGGGCAGCAUAUCUUGAGAGGUUUAACUAUCUCAUCGUGCAUAAAUCUGGAAUAACUAAUAGAGUGGCCGAUGCUUUGAGUCGUCGUGCAUGCCUCUUGACUUCUUUUGAAGCUGAACUUCCGGGCAUGGGUCAAAUAAAGGAGUUGUAUGAGGGUGACAAAGACUUUGGCCAUGUUUGGGUAAAGCACGCAAGGGGCCAACCAUUAGGUGAUGACUAUUUGAUGCAAGAUGGAUAUCUCUUCAAAAAUGAUCGUUUGUGCAUUCCAAGAAGUUCUCUACGUGACAAGCUGGUUAGAGAGCUCCAUUCAAGUGAUCUUAGUGGCCAUGUUGGACGGAACAAGACUAUCGCUAACCUGGAAGCUUGCUACUUUUGGCCACAACUAAAGAGAGAUGCUGGAAAGUUCGUUCAACGGUGCCCCGUAUGUCAGACCUGCAAAGGCCAAGUCCAGAACACAGGGUUAUACAUGCCUUUGCAUGUUCCUGUUGCUCCAUGGGAGGACAUUUCUAUGGACUUCGUCUUGGGCUUGCCAAGAACAAGACGAGGAAGUGAUGUUGUAUUUGUGGUCGUGGAUAGAUUCUCUAAGAUGGCUCAUUUCAUCCCAUGCCGCAAGACAACGGAUGCUCAUCAUGUGGCAAACCUAUUCUUUCGAGAAGUGGUCAGACUUCAUGGAGUUCCAAGGUCCAUUGUCUCAGACCAUGAUAGCAAGUUUCUUGCUGCAUUUUGGCUCACUUUGUGGAAGCAAUUCAACACUGAAUUGAAAUUUUCUAGCACUGCUCAUCCACAAACAGACGGACAAACGGAAGUGGUGAACAAGUUUUUGGGUAAUCUGAUCCGUUGCAUUUGUGGAGAAAGAAAGGGGCAAUGGGAUUUGGCUUUAUCUCUUGCAGAGUUCUCCUACAAUAACUCCAAGCAUAGAUCCACAGGAAGGAGCCCUUUUUCCAUUGUCUACACUAAAGUUCCAACACAUGUGGUGGACCCGGUGAAGCUGCCAUCAAGGGGAAACUCAAAAUCAGCAUUGUCCUUUGCUGAUAAUUGCACCGAGUUAUUUGAAGAGAUUCGCGGCGCUUUGGAAGCACAAAAUCAGAAAUAUAAACAACUUGCUGAUUGCAAAAAGAGGCCAAAAUCAUUCCAAGUCGGUGAUAAGGUGAUCGUCUACCUCCGAAAAGAGAGGCUGCCUUUAGGUGUUAAAGGGAAACUUAGGCAGCGAAGGUAUGGGCCCUUCUCUAUCAUGAGGAAGAUAAAUGAUAAUGCUUAUGUGAUAGAUCUUCCAAGUGACAUGGGUAUCUCCAACACUUUCAAUGUUGCGGACUUGACUCUCUACCAUCCAGAAGAAGCGCUCUAUGAAGAUAACUCGAGGGCGAGUUCCAAACAACCAGGGGAGAAUGAUGAGGAACACUAG
rnacentral:rRNA from 1 species